UGCUACAAAAGGAUAUUGUUGGAGCAACAUUGACUAUUAUGAAUAGAGCUAUAGAGGAAGAGCGAUACAUCGAUGCAACUUUCAUUCGUGAUCAUGUUGGGGCAGGACUGCUACAUGAAGCUAUUCACUCCAUUGAGCUUUAUUCAUUUUGCUAUAUGCAAGCCUAUAACAGUGGUUGCCAAUUCUUAUAUAUUGAUUGAAAAAAAAUCUUCAAAUGUUGAACGCAUACAGAAACUUAAAGCAAUGUUCAGAAAGGGUGCAUGCGACUUAAAUACUGAUGAAAAAGGUAGUUGCUCAGUAUACUGCUUUGUGGUUUUUAUGCAAACUGCACAUCCUCAAGCUUUGAGAUCUUACUAGAGUGUUGCUGCUGUAAUGUUGAGACAUAAGAAAAGGGAGAAAGCUGGGUUU